GGCCGAGAUGUCGACUUGUAUGUUGUGCCCUUGAGGCGUGGCUUCCGGAGCUAACGCGUUAAGUCGACCGCCGGGGGAGUACGGCCGCAAAGUUAAAACUCAAAUGAAUUGACGGGGGCCCGCACAAGCGGGGGAGCAGGGGGUUUAAUUCAAUGCAACGCGAAAAACCUUACCUACUCUUGACAUCCAGAGAACUUUCCAGAAAUGGAUUGGUGCCUUCGGGAACUCUGAGACAGGUGCUGCAUGGCUGUCGUCAGCUCGUGUUGUGAAAUGUUGGGUUAAGUCCCGCAACGAGCGCAACCCUUAUCCUUUGUUGCCAGCGGUUCGGCCGGGAACUCAAAGGAGACUGCCAGUGAUAAACUGGAGGAAGGUGGGGAUGACGUCAAGUCAUCAUGGCCCUUACGAGUAGGGCUACACACGUGCUACAAUGGCGCAUACGAAGAGAAGCGACCUCGCGAGAGCAAGCGGACCUCAUAAAGUGCGUCGUAGUCCGGAUUGUAGUCUGCAACUCGACUCCGUGAAGUCGGAAUCGCUAGUAAUCGUAGAUCAGAAUGCUACGGUGAAUACGUUCCCGGGCCUUGUACACACCGCCCGUCACACCAUGGGAGUGGGUUGCAAAAGAAGUAGGUAGCUUAACCUUC
rnacentral:rRNA from 1 species